rnacentral:lncRNA from 1 species
GGGGAGGGGGCUGGGGCGAGCGUGGUCCUGGGGGUGGGUGGCGGCUGCGGUGAGCGGGCCACAGCCUUGGGCUCCCCUCAGUCCCGGGCCCCCACUGCUGGGGAGCUGCCAUUGUCUGGCUCUUCUCUCUUAAAAUGGCUGCCUGUCUGCCUUCCUCUCCUUCCCUCCUUCAGCCUUUGUGUUGGGUUUUUCCAGAGGUGUCUGCUCCUCUUUUUCCUCUCCCCUGGUCCCUUCGAACUCCAGGGGUCUUGAUGGGGGUGCGGGGCAGAGUGUGCGGGGAAGGGCCUGGCCGGGGGUGAGGGGGUGAGGGGGCGCUGGGGGCUCAGGUUAGGAGUGUAGGCAGUGGUAGGAGCCCAGGAGUUGAAUGAACGUUUCUUUGCUCACCUGCCGCUCCUCUCCGUCCCCCGGCCUUCCUCUGGGCCGCCCCCCAUCUGUGCUUUCAAAGAGGGCCCCUAGAGCUCGAGGGGACCUCGAGGGGAGGGCAGGGGACUGCUUGGGAGCUGCUAGAGGCCGGCUGCGGUUCACCUAGGGCAGCCCGGUCCAUCUCCUGUCUUAGGCUCCGCCGGCCCAGUGGCCUGGGCUUCUCCCUGGAAGUGCUGGUAAACAGCUGAGUGAUUGGAGUAGUAAGUGCAGAUUGCUUUGGUUUGGGAUUUGAAUUAUGGAGGUAAAAUCCUUCUGUCAAAGCCAGGAGACAGUUGGUCUUAGGUUGACAUCCUAUCUGUGAUCUGAUUGGCUCCCCAUCUCCUGCUCUUGGCCAUUUAUAAUUGCCUCUGAUGUAAUGGUACAACAAUCCUGAUGAGCUCAUAAACUUUUACACUCUGCUUUUCUGCCAGUGAUAACCCAAACUAUCGCUGCCACUAUCUGCCUUUUAUUCCAGAGCUGAAAUUGGCUGUGACCUUGAGGAGGGAGGUUUAAGUAGCAAUACUGUAUCAGCAAGAGCAAAGCCUCAGACAGCCUGCCCUUGUUACAUUGUGCCCAAACAAAAGAGGAGGCAAUGGCAUUUUGCUUGUACCUUGGAUUUAUUUUGCUUGUUAUGUUUUAUGCAGCCUGAAAUGAAUUCUGUGUUGUCAGAACAGUAGCUGAGUUUUUUCUCUACAAUGGGUUUGCUGUUUGUUUUGGUUUUGUGACUUUCCUGAUGGUAUAAAUGACUUCUUUGAUGGCUCUGAAGAUGCAUUUAUCUUGAGUAAUUUUGACACUGGUUGCUUUGCAGAAUUGAAAUGAUUUUACUGGGCUUUUUAUUGAGUGGCAAAUGUGGGAUCUUUAUGGGGGGCCAGAAAACAGUUUUUGUUAUUUUUUUUAGAACUGGGAGCUUUCUGAGGAAUUUUAUAUUAGGUUCAAGCGGUCUGUUUUAAGGAAGACUGGCCUCAUUCUUUGUUUACAUGUUGAAUCUUGUUAACACUUUCUUUUGUUAAUUGAACUUUGGAAUAGCAGCUUAAUUUAAAGGGAAGCUGGUGUCUUUCAUGAUCUUGAGGGACUUUCUCCUAAAGGCUUGGUUUGGUGAAAUUGUUUUUUUCCUGGAAUAACAAAAAGUCUAGUUUUCUGUUUUGUCAUCAGUCAUUUUAGAGCUUUGAAAUAGAGACUGGCCAGUUUAUUCCUUUGCAUUUUAAUGUAUGUUCCACUUUUUUUCUUGUCUUCCAAGAUAUGAAGAUACGACCUAGAAUGACACUUAAGAUUUGCUUAGAAAUUGCAACUUCUGAGUACCUUGUUACACUAUUCUAUCUUGUUUUAUUUUGUUGCUUUUCUUCCAUCUUCAUCAUGCUCUGUCAGCAGUGCUUUUGGUCAGGGAUAUUGAGUAUUCUGUGGAGUCAUACAUGUUUUCAAAGAGGGGGAAGCUCCAUUCAUCCCCUCCCAAACCCCUUGCGCUUUUGUGCUAGGAGGAAAUUUUGUUCACUUACUAGCUGUAUUCCCAGCCCAUCCUAGAGCUACUUUACUACUCUUUUGAGCUGGGGAUUUUGAAAUUAGCUGUGUUAGAUGGUGGGCUUGGAGCUCUGUGCCUUGAUUCUACAUCUUCCAUGAUGUUCUGCAUCUGGACAAGAAAUAGGGAAAUGUUACAUUGUUUUUCUAGUGUCUGGAGGAAAAGUUUUGUCUUAAAAGACAGCAUCCUCUUGUCUCUGGGUCAUCCUAUAGUCUGAACCUCUUUCCUCUCAUUCCCCUUGUUUUGUUUGGUUUUGGCUGAAAAUUUUACUUUUCUUGAAAACUAUUAGAAUAAGUCAUUUGGGGUAGUAAGUCAGGGUUCAUUUAAAAGCAAAAUUGAUUGGAAUUCUGCUGGUUUGGAAAUAUUUAGUCAAAGGUUUUAAAGAAAAAGCCAACUCUUUUGGUAUAAUGAUUUUUGUUUUUCAGUCAGUAAAUUAUGGAACACUUUCUGUGUAGAUGAUAGGAGAAUAGAUACAGUCCCUGUUUGGAUGCCUGUCUGUGCUGCCUUUGGAUGAAUUUUCUGAUCUCUUUUAUUAUCACUAGACCCACACAACAUAGAUUCCUAAUUAAUUUCAGCUCAGUUGUCUACUCCCCAGAGACCCAGGGAAUGGGCUGGUGAGCAUUCAGUUGUGUAAGAGACAGUGCAGCUUCCACUUCUGUGGACUGCUUCAGGUGUGUGGUAGUAGUCUAGGUGAGGGUUGUAGGUUCAGACUUUGUUCUGAAUUUCUCUUUGCUACUUGAUAAACCUCUUUUCAGACCAUGAUGCUCUACUCUUCAACAUUCUUAAAUUAAAAAGUCUUGCUCUGUCUCCAUCUUUUCCUGGCGCAGUCUUAGAUUAAGAAUAUUUUGCAGAGACUUAAUUAACACAGCUAAGGUGAUAACGUUUUCAUUUGACUCUGCGCUUAUGAAAUAAAGUUUAGGUAAGUGUGUGUAUUGUGGCUAUGUCUUUUUCACAGGACCUGGGAAGAUCUUAGACAAACUUUUACUUUAUUCCUUUUCAUAAGUAGUGUAUCUCAAGUGUUGAAUCCCGGUACUGAUGAAAUAGUUUUAGAUUACUUACACACAUGAAGUUGAUUUAAGGCUUUUUAUUGGGACGCUUUUUAGCAAUAAUACUUUGAGAGUAAUACCAGUUUACCAAGGUAAAAAAUAAAAUACAAUAAAUAGUCCAGGAACAAGUUGGAUUUUAUUGUAGAAGUUUGGUUGUUAGUUUCUACUACGGAAACAUCAAAUGAUAUUUCUGACUCCUGGGAAACAGAUACAGGAAUCCUAGAUUUAUUAUGGGAAUGCCUACUGGCAGAAAUUCUAGGCUGGCUGAAAUACAGGACUCUUGGAGCUCUCUCAAGUAGGAGGGACCAGGAAAACCACACUGAGAUGGCACUUUAGUUGUGGGGGUUUCAUGUUUCUCUACUGUUCAUGAGAGAGCUGGGGUGAUGAGGAUUGAGAUGGUGGUGUGAGAACAGAGAAAGCAGCCAGGACCAGGUUUGGCUUCUUGUGUAUUGGGCCCUGUGAGGACUUUUUAGGUUCCUUUCUUUGUGUGUGACAUGAGUAACCAUGACAAGCAGCACCUGCUGAAACAGGAUGUCUUGGAUUGCAUUAAACAUUAAUAUGUUGGAUUGACUCCUGUAGGUGUAAUGUCUACAGUAGACCUUUUGCAAAGAGGUUAGUGAACUUUUUUAGAAUGAGGGAAUAGGCUAACAAAGUAAUAGGCAGGGCUCUUUCCUGUUCCCAUCCCUCAAAAGGUUGUAUUGAUUGGCUUCAACUCUCAAAAUUCUAGAAGCAACUGAAGCUUGUAAAUAUGGUAAAAAUGUGGUAUUCAAAUAUAUUGGCACCGAGUAGUUCUUUUCUGCCAGUGAGCUGUAAUACCUGGGGCUUGAAUGGAGUCCUGAUUCCUGUGGCUUUUAUCUCUGGGUUUUUCCUUGUUUAGAUUGGUCAUUAUCAUUACUGACGCACACUUACGUUGUUAUUACUGAUGCAUACUUGAGUUGUGUGUUGCGUUAGUGGUAAAGAGCACAGGACUCACAACAGGAGGAGGAAGGAGGAGGCUUAGGUUCCACAUACAGCUCCAGAUUAAGCUGUGUGACCCUGGGCAGGUCAUUUGCUUUCUCUAUUUUUCAUUUUCUCCCUCAUCAAUAAAAUGAAGUUGGUCUGCAUGGCCUUCUCACUCUAAGAUGCUACAUAUCUGUGCUUCCAUAGCUGGCUUGUUAUGAAGGCAGCUUUCUGUACAUAAAUCAGGGGUCUUGAGACCAUCUUUCUUCCCCUGGACUGAAGGAACUCAAAGCUAUUUUCUCCUGGGAUUCACAGGAACAAGCUCUGAACAGUUGGGUGCCAUUGUGGUCUGUAGACUUUUACAGAAAAAGCUCUACCAGACUGUUGCCUUGAAACUGUUAAUCUGUUUGUCAUUAGUCAUUCCACCUGGCUGGUGGUUUUAAAACACUAAAUAGUCGUUGGAAAGUUAGGUAGAUUUCAUUAAAGCAAGACUUGAAAAAUAGUUGCUUCAGGAUCCCCAGGAGGCUUUUGCACUUGGGGUUGGGGUGAGGAAUGGAUAUUCAUAAGUUCAGUGUUGAUAUUCUGCUGCUUUUGGGGAGGGGUAGGGAGAGAGAGGGAGCAUUAAGCUCUCCAGACUCCUGGUGUUUGGGCAGGUCUAGGUCUGGUUUGGGCAGUUGGUUGUAAUCUGAGUGCCUGGACUUGCCCUGUAAGUUUUGCUGAGAGAGAAGCAAAUGUUCCUGAGACUGGAAGAGGAAAAGCUGCGUUUCAGGGUCAAUUUCAUAGGUGCAUUUGUUGUUUCUCAUCGCUAUGGUUUAAAAAACUACAUGGUGUGCUUUGCACGUGGUCCUGGAAAUGCUAUUCUUUCUCUUCUCCAGCACACCUGAAUUUCCAUUCUUUCUCUUCCUGGCUUAGUAGUUUAGAAGUGUAAUUUAGGUAUAUUAGAGGAAGGAAGCUUCCCUUUAUAAAGGAGGGAAAAGGGUAGAGGGAACAGUGUUUGAUAAUUCUGUGCUUGACACAGCAUCUUCUAUCGUCUCUGAAGGAACCAAAUGUUUCAGAGCUUUGUGUAAAUACUUGCUGAGCUGUCAAUAUGUACCCAGGAGGUUUCUGUAGUAAGAUGUAAACUGUUCUAUAGAAUGUUUGACAGGCAAAUUAAUAAACAGUUUUCAAGCAAAGAUAAUGCUAGCCUCCUCAUGUGGUGGAGUAAAAUAACAUUGGGGAAAAAGACUUGGGGAUAGGAAAAGGGUAGUGCUGGGGGGCAGUGAGUGUGGAGAUAAGAAGUGAUCUAAAAAAAAAUUGAAAUGGAAAGAUGCUGCCCUGGUAGUGAAACCUCUGUGGCCCUGGCUGCGUGCUAAGUUCAGGGCAUGUGGUAUCCUGUUAAAGUCAAUUGCAGUUUCAUAGUGAAAAUAGAAGUUUGGAAAGAAGAUCCUGACUGUCAAUAGUAAGGUAAGUAUUACCCCAGACACUUGGCUUAUGAGACUUUGAGGUUUAAAGGGUAGCUUGGUGAGAUUAUUUUUGGCUUGGGUUUGCAUUUCUGGAAUAUUAGAAAGGAGAAAAAAGAUACUGCAACUUGAGUGUGAUCUUUAUCCUCAAUUUUGCUGUUGUGCUGGGGAUUAUAAGUCCACUACCCAAUGGCCUGGGUUUAUUUAUACAGUUUUUACUGGACUUCUGUGUAUCACUUAUGAUAAAAUUAAUAUGCCUUUACACUCUGUUCCUGGGUCAGUACAAAGUCCAAAUAUUUGGGGACUCACUACAUCUUACUUGAAGGAUUAUGUGAGUAGAUACAGUCUUUGUUUUUGAAAUUGCCAUUUUAGGAUUAAAAACAUAUCUGGGUUCCUUCAGUGACACAUUCUUUUUAUGGAAGAAGAAGAAGAAUCUAUGAAUAUUUUAGCUGUCUGUCUGUGGUCCUCUUCUUUGGUAGCCUUGUGAGAUGACCAGAUUUGCCUUCUCAGAAUGUCUUUUUUAACUAGAUUCAUUGAUUCUGACACCAGUUUUCUUUAUAAGAAGUGUUUUUUACACCAGAGUCCUGGAAGUGCCCUUUUGACUUAGCUGUUUAUAUAGUAGCAGGGAAUAUGAAUGUAAUUAUGGUCCUGACUAUGAUUUUUAGGUUCAGCUAACUUACUACCAAAGGCUAUCAGCUUGUUUUAAUACAAAACACAAAAACUUGGAUUGGCACUGACAUAGGUUGCUUAAUAUUGCAUGGUCCUUUCCCAGUAUGUUGGUAGUGAGGGUAUUAGGAACUUCAGACUUAUUGCUGAGAGCAUAGUUUCUAAGUCAGAGAGAUCAGGAAAUUCCAAUGGGGAUGGGAAAUAGCCCUAUGUGAUUACACCAGCUAGGUACUAGGAAGAGAUUUAAAAGGUAGAAACAAUAUCUCCUUCAGAGGCAUUUAGUUUUCUUAGGAAAGCAUGCUUAUGUGCACACAUCUGGAAAACUUGAAAAGCAAGGUUUCAUAAAUGGAUGUAGACCACACUAAUUAUGUGAGCUGAAGGAAUUAGAGGAAAAGGUUCAAUCAGUUUGGCAGGGUUAACCUGGGACAGCUUUUCAGAGGCUUUUUUUGUGAAGCUAAAUGUUCAAGAAACUUAGAAUACUAAUUUGCCUUUUCAUAAUGCUAUUCUUAAGUUCCAUGGGCUUGAUAGAAUCCACAUUGCACAUCCAUCUCCAGACCAGUAGCUGUCUCAGUGUUCCAAUGACUUUGAGAAUUUGGACUCUAACCAUAAAACUCCCUGAAAGAGUGGUUCCAGGGUCUUAGUGGUUCUUGUGGUCAGGUAGAGCCUUUGGUACAGACUGUUAAGUUCUUGGCUAGUUCAGGGGCACUUUUCUAGUAAAUUUGGAUUUGGAAGGUCAUGUCACCUUCAGAGUUGUGUGCCCUGGACAGCUCUGUAGUAAUGGUGGUUCAACUUUGUUGGUGAGUCUGUCUUGGCAGAGUUAGUUGACCUUUCUUAAAACAAGAGCCACGAAGUAAGUAUCUGUUGGGACUCUUAGGCUGCUAUUUCUGAGGAGCUGGGAGCUGUGUUCAAGUCAAGUUGCUUGUGUUAGACCUUAUAUUGAGGUUGAUGGGUUAGGUAAGCCUGCACAUAUGCAGUCUGCCCAUUUAUUCAUAGAAAUGGCCUUUAAUACUGUUUUUGGCCGGGCGCGGUAGCUCACACCUAUAAUCCCAGCACUUUGGGAGGCCAAGGUGGGAGGAUUGCCCAAGCCCAGGACCAGCCUUGGGACCAGGCUAUUAACAUAGGGAGACCCCAUCUUUACAAGACACAAAAAUUGCUGGAUGUGGUGGUACGUGCCUGUAGUCGCAGUUUACUUAGAAAGCUGAGGCAGGAGGAUUGCUUGAGCCCAGGAGGUUGAGGCUGUUGUAAGCCAUGAUUACGCCAGUGCACUCCAGCCUGGGCAAUGGAGCCAAGACCUUGUCUCAAAAAAAAAAAAAAAAUUUGUUUUUUAUUAGGUUACUAUGGCCAAGCAGCUAACAAAUGCUGCUCACCAAUGCUUAAUCCUUGUGGAGCCUCUGGAAUAUAGUGAUUUUGGUUUCUUUACCUGCUGGUCGAUCUGUGGUUGGGCCUUGGCACUUCACCGGUCAAGGAUCAUCAGUGGAUGCUUAACAGCUGAAGAUGCAUGGCAUGUCCAGUGCCAGGCCACUGUAAUGCUUCUACCUGGAGAAGGAUUGGUUACACUGCUCCAGUACAGAAGUACUGCAGACCUUUUUUUUUUUUUGAGAUGGAGUCUUACUUUGUCA